UAGCUAGUUGGUAGGGUAAAGGCCUACCAAGGCGACGAUCGGUAGCUGGUCUGAGAGGAUGGCCAGCCACACUGGAACUGAGACACGGUCCAGACUCCUACGGGAGGCAGCAGUGGGGAAUAUUGGACAAUGGGGGCAACCCUGAUCCAGCAAUGCCGCGUGUGUGAAGAAGGCCUGAGGGUUGUAAAGCACUUUCAGUGGGGAGGAGGAUUGAUUGUUUAAGAGAUGAUUAACUGGACGUUACCCACAGAAGAAGCACCGGCUAACUCCGUGCCAGCAGCCGCGGUAAUACGGAGGGUGCGAGCGUUAAUCGGAAUUACUGGGCGUAAAGAGUUCGUAGGUGGUUGGAUAAGUUAUCUGUGAAAUCCCUGGGCUCAACCUGGGCAGGUCAGAUAAUACUGUUUAACUCGAGUAUGGGAGAGGGUAGUGGAAUUUCCGGUGUAGCGGUGAAAUGCGUAGAGAUCGGAAGGAACACCAGUGGCGAAGGCGGCUACCUGGCCUAAUACUGACACUGAGGAACGAAAGCGUGGGGAGCAAACAGGAUUAGAUACCCUGGUAGUCCACGCCGUAAACGAUGUCAACUAGCUGUUGGUUAUAUGAAUAUAAUUAGUGGCGC
rnacentral:rRNA from 1 species